rnacentral:rRNA from 1 species
AUUGAACGCUGGCGGCAGGCCUAACACAUGCAAGUCGAACGGUAACAGGAAGAAGCUUGCUUCUUUGCUGACGAGUGGCGGACGGGUGAGUAAUGUCUGGGAAACUGCCUGAUGGAGGGGGAUAACUACUGGAAACGGUAGCUAAUACCGCAUAACGUCGCAAGACCAAAGAGGGGGGCCUUCGGGCCUCUUGCCAUCGGAUGUGCCCAGAUGGGAUUAGCUUGUUGGUGGGGUAACGGCUCACCAAGGCGACGAUCCCUAGCUGGUCUGAGAGGAUGACCAGCCACACUGGAACUGAGACACGGUCCAGACUCCUACGGGAGGCAGCAGUGGGGAAUAUUGCACAAUGGGCGCAAGCCUGAUGCAGCCAUGCCGCGUGUAUGAAGAAGGCCUUCGGGUUGUAAAGUACUUU